rnacentral:rRNA from 1 species
CCUACGGGUGGCAGCAGUGGGGAAUAUUGGACAAUGGGCGAAAGCCUGAUCCAGCCAUGCCGCGUGUGUGAAGAAGGCCUUCGGGUUGUAAAGCACUUUCAGUGGGGAAGAAAGCCUUGGGGCUAAUACCCUCGAGGAAGGACAUCACCCACAGAAGAAGCACCGGCUAACUCCGUGCCAGCAGCCGCGGUAAUACGGAGGGUGCGAGCGUUAAUCGGAAUUACUGGGCGUAAAGCGCGUGUAGGCGGUCUGAUAAGCCGGUUGUGAAAGCCCCGGGCUCAACCUGGGAACGGCAUCCGGAACUGUCAGGCUAGAGUGCAGGAGAGGAAGGUAGAAUUCCCGGUGUAGCGGUGAAAUGCGUAGAGAUCGGGAGGAAUACCAGUGGCGAAGGCGGCCUUCUGGACUGACACUGACGCUGAGGUGCGAAAGCGUGGGUAGCAAACAGGAUUAGAUACCCUGUAGUC